AGAGUUUGAUUCUGGCUCAGGACGAACGCUGGCGGCGUGCCUAACACAUGCAAGUCGAACGGGCUUGGGGGCAACUCCAGGUCAGUGGCGGACGGGUGCGUAACACGUGAGCAACAUGUCCAACGGUGGGGGAUAGCCGGCCCAACGGCCGGGUAAUACCGCAUGCGGUCACCUCGGGGCAUCCCUGGUGACGAAAGUGAGGGCAACCUCACGCCGAUGGAGUGGCUCGCGGCCUAUCAGCUAGUUGGUGAGGUCAUGGCUCACCAAGGCUACGACGGGUAGCUGGUCUGAGAGGAUGACCAGCCACAUUGGGACUGAGACACGGCCCAGACUCCUACGGGAGGCAGCAGUGGGGAAUAUUGCGCAAUGGGCGAAUGCCUGACGCAGCGACGCCGCGUGUGGGAUGACGGCCUUCGGGUUGUAAACCACUGUCGGAGGGGACGAAGGCCCGGCGGCGAAUAGCCGACCGGGAUUGACGGUACCCUCAAAGGAAGCACCGGCUAACUCCGUGCCAGCAGCCGCGGUAAUACGGAGGGUGCGAGCGUUGUCCGGAAUCACUGGGCGUAAAGGGUGCGUAGGCGGCUAGGUAAGUCACGUGUNNNNNGCCGGGGCUCAACCCCGGAUCGGCAUGUGAGA
rnacentral:rRNA from 1 species